rnacentral:rRNA from 1 species
GAUGAACGCUGACAGAAUGCUUAACACAUGCAAGUCGAUUCAAGUUACCUUCGGGUAAUGAGGAUGGCGGACGGGUGAGUAACGCGUAAGGAACCUGCCUCUUGGUCUGGGACAACUGUUGGAAACGACAGCUAAUACCGGAUAUUAUGAGAUUCUCGCAUGGGAAACUUAUGAAAGCUAUAUGCGCCAAGAGAGAGCCUUGCGUUCCAUUAGCUAGUUGGUGGGGUAACGGCCCACCAAGGCGACGAUGGAUAGCCGGCCUGAGAGGGUGAACGGCCACAAGGGGACUGAGACACGGCCCUUACUCCUACGGGAGGCAGCAGUGGGGAAUAUUGGACAAUGGGCCACAAGCCUGAUCCAGCAAUUCUGUGUGCACGAUGAAGGUCUUCGGAUUGUAAAGUGCUUUCAGUUGGGAAGAAGAAAGUGACGGUACCAACAGAAGAAGCGACGGCUAAAUACGUGCCAGCAGCCGCGGUAAUACGUAUGUCGCAAGCGUUAUCCGGAUUUAUUGGGCGUAAAGCGCGUCUAGGCGGAAAAAUAAGUCUGAUGUUAAAAUGCGGGGCUCAACUCCGUAUUGCGUUGGAAACUGUUUUUCUAGAGUACUGGAGAGGUGGGCGGAACUACAAGUGUAGAGGUGAAGUUCGUAGAUAUUUGUAGGAAUGCCGAUGGAGAAGUCAGCUCACUGGNCAGAUACUGACGCUGAAGCGCGAAAGCGUGGGGAGCAAACAGGAUUAGAUACCCUNGUAGUCCACGCCGUAAACGA